GAAGUUUAGUCCAUUUUCAUCAUGGCGAGAAGCAUGGCAGCCUGCAACAGACGUGGUGCUGGAGAAGGAGCUGAGAGUUCUACAACUUGAUCUGUAGGCAGCAAAGGAGACUGAAUUUCACACUGGGUAGAGCUUUAGCAUAAGAAACUUCAGAGCCCAUCCCACAGUGACACACUUCCUCCAAUAAGGUCACACCUACUCCAACAAGGCCAUACCUCCUAAUCGUGCCACUCCCUAUAGGCCAAGCAUUCAAACAAUUGAGACUAUGGGGCCAAACCUAUGUAUACCACCACAUUCCACUCCCUGGUCCCUAUAGGCUUGUAGCCAUAACACAAUGCAAAAUGCAUUUAGUCUGAUGUCAAAACGUUCCUUAGUCUAUCACAGUCUCAACAAUGUUUAACAGUCCGAAGUUAAAAGUAUCUUCUGAGAUUUAUGCAAUCUCUUUACUGUAAUCUCCUAUAAAAUUAAAUAACAAUGCAGAUCACAUAUGUCCCACAUAUCAUAGCACAGGAUAUACCUUACCAUUCCAAGAGUGCAUAAUGAGAAAAUACUGGACGAAAGCAAGAUCAAAAAUCAGCUGGGCAAACUGCAAACUCAGAGUCUCCAUGUCUGAUGUCAAAAUGUUCUUCAAAUCUCUAGCUCCUUUCAGCUUUGUUGACUGUAACACAUUUCUUUCUUUCGAGUUGCUAGCAGCAUUCCUCAGCAGGUAUACCAUGACUCUGGCAUUUCUAACAUCAUGCAGUCUCCGAGGCCAUCUGGGCUUCACGUAAUGGCCUCUCUAGGUCUCCAUUCAGGGAC
rnacentral:lncRNA from 1 species